rnacentral:pre_miRNA from 13 species
AACUUUUAUUUUUUUGUCUCUCUGAGCUACUAGCAACGCUAGAAGUCUACUGUUAGACAGAGUACAGAAAUUUUGUCACAGGACUUUUGAGCGUUGCUGGUUAAUGAGAGC